rnacentral:rRNA from 1 species
UACGUAGGGUGCAAGCGUUGUCCGGAAUUAUUGGGCGUAAAGAGCUCGUAGGCGGUUUGUUGCGUCGGCUGUGAAAUCCCGAGGCUCAACCUCGGGUCUGCAGUCGAUACGAGCAAACUAGAGUGUUGCAGGGGAGACUGGAAUUCCUGGUGUAGCGGUGAAAUGUGCAGAUAUCAGGAGGAACACCGGUGGCGAAGGCGGGUCUCUGGGCAACAACUGACGCUGAGGAGCGAAAGUGUGGGGAGCGAACAGG